CUCUCCCCUCCCAGCCUCGCUGCUCUCACAUUCCCAGGCUGUUUCUGAGGAUUGUUGUCAGUGUGGAUUCUCAGGAUGGGGACGGGACGUCUCCCCGGAAUAAUAUGGGUUCUCUCGGUCCUAGUGACUCCCGGUGGCGCUCUGACUUGCAAAGUGUGUACGACUGCCAAUGCUAAAUACUGCAAUGCCUCCAGCGUGGUCUGUCCUGAGGAUCAUGUCUGCGCCUCCUCCUACACCCUGACGAAUACACAUGGGGCGAUGUUCUCCAUGUUGUGUGCUCCCAGACAUCACUGUGAUGCCCC